AUUCACACACAUGUGAAUGGCAUUCACAUGUGUGUGAAUACCAUUCUUCACAUGUGUGUGAAUACCAUUCACAUAUGUGUGAAU
rnacentral:miRNA from 1 species